rnacentral:lncRNA from 1 species
AGUGCCCAAAACUAACCCUUCCUCCCGGUCAUAAAAACCCUAUUCCCUCAGAAAACACCCAACAACAGGAAAUGUACGAAGUAUGUUUUUAUGCAUGCAUUUGAGAGAUGGAAAAUUGUGCAGAUUUAAAAUAGAGAGUUAUUAAGACUGGGUAGUACAAAGGAAAACUCUUCCAUGUAAGGUUCAGUGGGAGAGCAAUCAUAUUGCACUUACACCUAUGGGAGAAUUAUAUGGGAAUAAGCAAAACACCUGAAAAUCAAAAGUGUGACAUAUUGGGACGUGUCUGUUUUUCUUUUGCUGUAUUAUUAUAGUGCUGUUGAUGUAAAAAUAAGGAAUCUCGUUCCUUUCUUGCAGCCAGCUCAGCCAGUUAGAAUAAAAGAGACUGAAU